UGUAGUCAACUCACUCUAAGCUCGAACACCAAGCCCCGAGCGAUUGCUUCGUUUGGUGUUCUACCUUACAGUGAGUAGACUGUU
rnacentral:pre_miRNA from 1 species